rnacentral:misc_RNA from 2 species
UGACCACUUAAGCCUGGCUUAGUGUUGGGAAUCUACAGCUGUAGUUCCUUAAAACCAGUGGCGGAGCGCAGAGGCCUCUGAGCGUAGUAAUUUUUUCUCGCUUUGGAAGGCCCUCGUGACUUUUGCCAUAAAACCCCCAAUUUUUUAA